UUAGCAAUGUGGGGGCCAUUGGUAACUCCGAUAAGGUCUGUUUGGUAGAGAAUUGUGAUUUAAGGCACGAUUAAAGAAUUUUUUUUUUUUAAAUAGGAAAGAAUUCAAGGAAUUAGAAUCUUCUGAGCUGUUUUUGCUGUAAGCAGUAGCUGACAUAAGUGGGGUUAAAAGGGUUUUUGUUUUUGACAGGAUAAGGGAGAAUUACUGGAGUGAUAUCCCUGAGUAAAAGAGGGAAAAUGGAAAGUACAGUACAAAUGGAGAGGUUGACACAUUCAUAAACAAAAGCAGAUACAUAUGCAAGCAGGUCAACAGAUGUGAUGGUAAACUUCUCUUCUGAUUGUUUCUAUUGCUCAGGUGCUCCCCCUCCCUCACCCAGCACCUCUACUGUGAGAGGAAAAAAGGAGGUAUUGAAAAUUUAUAAAAAUAUGCAAUAGUCAUCAAGGAGGAUGGGAGAGUGAAUGCAAUAGGGAAAUGUGGUAGAAUACCAAGAGACCACAACUUGUUGCUCGUAAUCACAAACUUUAAGAUACUCAGGGACUGAGCUGUUAGCUUUCAUGCAGUUACAUAGUUUGGAUUCCCCUAAUCCUAUGAAGAAACUGAGACUGAUAAAGGAUAAUAGUGCCCAUGUCAUAUAGCUGGUAAGGCAGCAGGAGCGUGAUUCCAACACAGACUACCUCUUUGACAUUAAGGACAUUGGCCCAAGACAAGCAGAAAUAGAAUGGGCAAGACAGAUUUUAAAUAAGUAACUUACAAACUUCUAGGUGAGUACCCUGAACAGUGAUAUCUUAUUUUAUGACAACUUUUAUUACAAUUUUAUUUUAACCACUAAGAAACUGGUUUUGAAAAAGAGAAAAUGGUGCUAAUAGAGUAGCAAAAUUAGGCAAAGUCCACUCACCUGAUGAAGCUUUUGCUUUAGGGAGAACCAGAGAGUGCCAAUGAUUACUUAAUAUGUAGCUGUAUGGCAAAGUGUUAAAUAAUUCUGAUUCCUUUUCUGGAUCAGUAAUUUAGAUCUGGUUGUCCCAAUUUAGAUGUGAGAAUCUGGACUGAAAUGCACGUAGUAAAUAUUAACUACCCAUAUAUAAUUAAGCAGAGAACACCAGUCCACUUAAUAGAAGCUCUUUAAAAUAGAAAGCAU